AUGCUAUCAUCUUCGGAGUGGAUUUGUUAUAAAAGGGGAAAUUUGCCCCCACUUUACACACACCCAUUCUAUCUUUUUUCUCUCUCUCUUCCUUUCUGGCCCUCCCACCACCCACCAUGGGAUGAUGCAGCAAGAAAGCCCUCUUCAGAUGCUGACCCCUGUUUCUUGGACUUCCCAGCCUCCAGAAUUAUCCCACACUCAACUGGCAGAGAGAAGCAGCAGCUGAACGUCAGAGGACUAUGGCUGGAUGUCAGGAGAGAAGCAGCUUGACUUCAGAGGGACAGCCUGAUAGUGUAACUUCAGAGAAGAAUCUGGUUAGAGAGGGCUGGACUCCAGGGAAAGACUACCUACUCUUCUUCCACCCCAUCCCCUUUUCAACUCUCUUUCCCACAAAGAGCCACUUUCACCAGCAGUAAAAUCCCCUAUAUUUACCAUCCUUCAAUUUAUGUCUGCAACUUCAUUUUUUCUGAACAUCGGAAAUUAACUCAAAAGGGCCAACUAGGCUGGGCGCAGUGGCUCACACCUGUAAUCCCAGCACUUUGGGAGGCCAAGGAGGGCGGUCAAGAGAUCAAGAUCGAGACCAUCCUGGCAACAUGGUGUAACACCGUCUCUACUAAAAAUACAAAAAUUAGCUGGCUGUGGUGGCAGCACCUGUAGUCCCAGCUACUCAGGAGCUGGGGCAAGAAAUUCGCUUGAACCCGGGAUGCAGAGGUUGCAGUGAGCCGAGAUCGCGCCACUGCACUCCAGCCUGACUUAAGCUGUAGGCAGACGGAAAGGCUAAAAGAGUAUGUGACAGGGUCACUGGGAGUCACAGGCAGCUCCCCGCACCCAACUGCCAGAGUUUGCAGCUGCUGGCCCAAAAGUGCUCACCCGAGUUCCUGCACUCAUUCAUCUGUGUGCUCCCUCCUGUGAGUGGUGAAAUACAGCAGGUCUGAGGGAGUGGAGUUCACUCCUGCUGGCGCCCAGGCAGCCGGCUGGUUUCAGUGCUUGCGUAUUCCAGUUCCUGCCUUGUUUGCUCACGAGCUCCCUCCUGCAAGAAGUUGAGAGUGGCAGGCUGAGUAAACGAGGCAAUCCUGUCGCGAGUCCCAAGAAAGGGUCAGGGAAAAUUAUCCUGCUUCACCGUGACUAGAUCCACUCAUCCUGUCUUACGCAAAGGACAUCUUCCAUUUCGGCAAAUUCUCCAAAAUGAGGUCCUGUGUUUGAGGAUCUGUUAAAUUUCUGUCCUUCUCCCUACACUCACAAUCCACUCGAGUUCUGUACCACAUCUACUCGAUCCUUUCUACCUGUGCUUUAUUUGCCAGAAUGAUUUUCUUUUCUUUGUAUUCUUUUCGGGUACAGCUUGAUAGGUUGUUAAACCCAAUGCUCUAAUUGUUAGCAAUUUUUAAAAACUGACAUUUUUUCCCCCUGAAGUGGAGGAAGGGCUUAAAUCCCAGACAUCCCAAAUGUAUGGGACAAUAUGAGCUUACCAUUCUUCUCAUGAAGCAUGGAACAAUUAUACAAGAAAAAAGAAAAGUCAAUUUAUCAUCAAUUUUGUUACCUUUAAGUGUGAAUGACAUAGAGAAAUAUUUUCUAACAAAUUCCAGAGUUGCUAUCAGACAUUAAUAAAAUGAAAUUUGAUGAUUAGAGAUUAGCA
rnacentral:lncRNA from 13 species